UUCUGCCUAGAAUCAAUCUCUUCACAUUUCCCACCGGAAUGUGGUCGGUAACUUUACUCAGCCUGUUUUUGGCGUUCUUAUCCCGUGUCCAUUGUGAUAUCGUGCUAACUCAACCGGAGGCGGCGACCGCCAGACCCGGAGGGACUCUGAGACUGACCUGUAAAACCAGCGGGUUCACUCUCAGCAGCUACUGGAUGAGCUUUAUUCGUCAGGUCCCCGGAAAGGGGCUGAAGUGGCUGCUUGCAUACUACGGUUCUUCGAGCAAGUACUUCGCCUCGGGGAUUCAGGGCAUAUUUACUCCGUCCAAAGACAGUUCAAACAAUAUUUUCGCCGUGGACGUGAGGGACCUGAGCACGGAAGACACCGCCGUCUAUUAUUGUGCGAAGCACACUGUGGGAGGAUCCAUGGUCGGAUCCGGCUUCGACUACUGGGGAGGAGGAACCAUGGUGACGGUGACUUACGCGGCACCAGCGGCCCCCUCUCUCUACCCUCUCCUCUCCUGUGAGCAACCCAGUCCCACCGACUUGCUCACUUUCGGAUGUGUGGCGACGGACUACUCUCCGUCGGGCAUCAUCAUUUCCUGGAAGAAAGAUAAAGUGCCGAUCACCACCGGACUGAAGACCUACACCGCGGUGUUCAACAGGAAGGGAACUUUCACCCGUAGCAGCCAAUUGACAGUCAGCGAGUCAGAAGCGGGGAGCAGCGCCAUCUACUGUGUGGUUCGGUCCGGUGAUACAGUCAAGGAAGUCCAAAUGCCCGAUCGAGCGGUUCUUCAUCCAAACGUCAUCAUCACCGUGAAUUCCCAUGAGGAAAUCAAAAGGAGCAAGAAAGGGACAGCCGUCUGUUCGAUAAGCGACUUCCGGCCAGCACAACUCACUGUAAAGUGGCUAAAGAAUGGACAGCUCCUGACUUCAGGUGUCGUCACCUCUCCCUCCUAUAAGUUGAAGGGGAACUUCUCCGCGACAAGCCAGGUGACAUUCUCAGCCGGAGCGUGGUUCACUGGUUCAGUCAUUACCUGUCAGGUCAUCCAUAAAAAGAACAUGCAAAGUUUAAACAUCAGCAUCUCUCAAGAUGUUAACACUUGCGAAGAGGAACAGAUUACAAUUCAGCCACCACCACUAGAGCAAGUCUUACUGGAAGCGAACGUGACCUUAACCUGCGUCGUCUCUCAUGCACCUUAUGGCGUCCGAGUAACGUGGAUGCAAGGAACGAAGGAGUUGAAAUCAGAGACUGCCUACCAGCCCGGAGAGACUCCCGACAGCGUGAUCAGCAACCUAAGCAUCUCAACGCAAGCUUGGCUGAGUGGGAAUGUGUUCGAUUGCGUGGUGCGACAUGCUGAAAUUCCCACUCCGAAAAGGGCUUCAAUCCGCAAGGAAAAAGAUCCACACCCACUGGAACCGUCCGUCUCCGUCCUCCUUCCGCCGACAGAUGAAGUCUCCACUCAGAGGUCCGUAACACUCACUUGCUUUGUGAGAGGUUUCUUCCCUCGCCGAAUAUUCGUCAAGUGGACGGUCGAUGACAAGCCGGUGGAUUCGCACAACUACAAGAACACUGAAGUGCUGCCGGAGAACGGCAACAGCUCCUACUUCAUGUACAGUAUGUUAUCCAUCGGGAGGGAGCAGUGGGCCAGCGGCGCUUCUGUCUCCUGUGUGGUGGGACAUGAAACCCUCCCCAUGAAGACCAUCGCCAGAACGGUCAAUCGGUCCAGCGGUAAACCUAGUUUUGUCAACGUUUCUAUUGUACUGAUGGACACUGUAAAUUCUUGUCAAUGAGAAUCACUCAAAUGAAUUGAGU